UGAGCUUAGUGACUGAGAACCUUUUCAACCAUGGAGUGAUGACAGGGAUUUCGUAAGUUGGCUGACCCAACUUUCGACCUGAUUCCUCGUAGCUGAAGGCCGUGUUUGGAUGUAGAAUUUUCUACGUAUGCAAUGUGGCUUGAUUAAGUUAACUGGUUUCGUGUUGGCCAAAAGACAACUAGUAUUUCAUGCUUUGAACAUGCUUGUGCCCAUUAGAACAGUGAUGAUCUGGUUAAAAACGUCUGAUCUGCUGUCAAUGGCAAGUAAACACAAAUAAACUAAUUAAUCGUUAUUUUCUUCCACUUGGCAGCGUUAGCUUGGGCAAUGGGAUAUUGUGAAACCUUCACUCGAUGGGAGCAACGAAGCAAUAUUGAAGUACCACAGGAGGAGCACACAAGCGAAUAUGAGGAUUCCUUGCUGAAAUGUCGGAAGAAAGCGGCAUAUAAUGCAACUAUUUAACGAUGAUUGGUUGUUUUUUUUUUCUUAGUUAGGAAUCAUAUGGAAGGAGCGAUGGUAAAUGGAGGAUUUAUUCCAACGGUUGGCUUCGGCCGUUGCAACUGUGUCUGGUUGUUAUCAAUUCUUAUUUUUGGUCUAAACCCAAUUGCUAAAGUGAGUGGCAACUGGAUAAUUGUGUUUCGUUGAGGUUGUGAAUGCGCGGACAAAUUGGACGAAGGUUGUCCACUCGGUUAUUGUUCAUGGAAGUGUUCGUUCAGUGAGUCUCCACCCCGGGAUAUUGGAGCAAAAGAACUGAAAGGAUGUUAGUGAUCGAUCGUGAUUUAGGGAAUUGCGAAAUGGAUGUAAAAGAAUGGACGUGAAAAAGACGACGAAAGAGUACAGCGGCGCAACUUCUGAAUGUUGCAAUAUGCAACUUACGCUUCCAAUUCCGGAUUGUGUUCCCGCAGCAAGAUGGUUGAGCACGUUUCAAAGCGAUUUUGCUUUAUGUUACUUCUUAUCUGUUGUAAUAUUUGCUUUUCUUUGUAAAUGUGUGGAGUUAUUAGCUUUUAAGUUGUAGAAAAAAUUACACAGGGAUGAGUGUUGAGGUGGUGGAGGGUAGUAUGAUGUAAAUAUGUAAUU